rnacentral:rRNA from 1 species
CACGGGGGGAGCAAGCGUUGUUCGGAAUCACUGGGCGUAAAGGGCGUGUAGGCGGUUCGGUAAGUGGAAUGUGAAAUCCCUCGGCUUAACCGGGGAACUGCAUCUGAUACUGGAUGGCUUGAGAUUGGGAGAGGGAUGCGGAAUUCCAGGUGUAGCGGUGAAAUGCGCAGAUAUCGGGAGGAACACCGGUGGCGAAGGCGGCUCUCUGGGCCUGUCCUGACGCUCAGGCGCGAAAGCUAGGGGAGCAAACCGG